UGUAAUGAACCCGUGAGCCUAUCCAACACAG
rnacentral:piRNA from 1 species